rnacentral:rRNA from 1 species
GACGGGGGAUGCAAGUGUUAUCCGGAAUCACUGGGCGUAAAGCGUCUGUAGGUGGUUUAAUAAGUCAACUGUUAAAUCUUGAGGCUCAACCUCGAAAUCGCAGUCGAAACUAUUAGACUAGAGUAUAGUAGGGGUAAAGGGAAUUUCCAGUGGAGCGGUGAAAUGCGUAGAUAUUGGAAAGAACACCGAUGGCGAAGGCACUUUACUGGGCUAUUACUAACACUGAGAGACGAAACCUAGGGUAGCAAAUGGG